AUGUGGGUGAAGCAUGACCAGGCGAUCCUCUCUGCCAUCCAGGGUUCCCUCGGCGACGGGGUCGCUGGCCUUUGUCUCUUCGCCGCCACCUCCAUGGACGCCUGGACGACUCUGGAGCACGCCUUUGCCCAGGUCUCUACCUCCCGCUCGAUGGCCUUCCGCAACGAACUCGUCGACAUCAAGAAGCUGGACUCCUCUGCUACGACCUACUUCAACAAGAUGAAGGUGCUGGCAGACACGCUCACCUCUAUUGGUCGGCCGCUUAGCGACGAGGAGUUCGCCGGCUUCGUCAUCAAAGGCCUCGACGCCGACUACGACAAUCUCGCCGAGGCCGUCCACAACGCCAAGCCAGCGAUGCCUCCUCACGAGCUCUACUCACGCCUCCUAUUCACCGAGCAACGCGUCGAGGCUCGUCGCUCCUCCGCCACCAUCACCGCCCAGCGGGCGGCCUUCUGGGCCUCUUGUGGCCAGCGCCCACCUGCCCCGUCACCUGGCAAGGCAGCCCCGCCCCCUGCAUCGACCCUGGGUGGGGGCCCUAACACUAGUGUGGUGUGCCAGCUAUGUGGUCGUGAACGCCAUGUCGCCUCCAAGUGUCACCGCCGCUUUCAGAGGAGCUUCCUUGGCAUCGGCAACAACGGCAAGGGCAACGAGCGCCAGUUUGCCAUGGCAGACUUUGGUCCUCCCGCUGCCGCCCCGGCUGCCCACAUCGCUGUCGCCCCGUCUGCCCACAUCACUGCCAAGGGCAAGGACCCGCGCGUCGAGCAGGGAUACACACCAUCCUACCAUGUUGAUCCAGCCUGGUACAUGAACACCGGCGCCACAGAUCACAUGACGAACGAGCUCAACAAACUCUCCACCUACCAGCCCUACUACGGGCACGAUCAGGUUCACACCGCCAAUGGUGUAGGUAUGCCCAUCUCUCAUAUUGGCCAAGCAUCUCUUUUAACUAGUCAUCCCUCUAGGCAACUCCAUCUUCGUAAUGUUUUACGGGUACCCUCCGUAACUCGUAAUCUUUUAUCUGUCCCUAAGCUCACCCUUGAUAAUCAUGUCCUAUGUGAAUUUCACCCUUUUAAUCUUUUUGUUAAGGAUCGAGCAACCCGGGACGUUCUGCUUAGUGGCCGGUUGAGCCAAGGCUUGUACCGUUUGGAGGAUCCAUCCGCCCCGUGCGUCUUCAGCGGUGUUCGUGUGUCGCCUUCCCAAUGGCACUCUCGCUUUGGUCACCCCGCCACACCCAUCGUUCGCCACAUAAUCCACCGUCAUGAGCUGCCAUUAGUGUCUAGCAAUAAAGAGAUGUCCGUGUGUGAUGCCUGUCAGCAAGGCAAGAGUCAUCAGCUACCUUUUGUUUCAUCUACUAGAGAAGUAAAGAACCCUCUUGAAAUUGUGUUUUCUGAUGUGUGGGGUCCGGCACAAACAUCUGUUAGUGGUCACAACUAUUAUGUCAGUUUUGUUGAUGCCUAUAGUCGCUUCACUUGGCUUUAUCUUCUUAAGCGCAAGUCUGAUGUGUUUGAUAUAUUCAUACAGUUUCAAUUGCAUGUUGAACGUCUACUCAAGCAAAUUAUCCAUGUUCAAUCAGAUUGGGGGGGGGGGGGACGAAUAUCGCAACCUCAACACCUUCUUUAA
rnacentral:rRNA from 1 species